UACGUAGGGUGCAAGCGUUGUCCGGAUUUAUUGGGUUUAAAGGGUGCGUAGGCGGCCGAUUAAGUCAGUGGUGAAAGUUUCCGGCUCAACCGGGAGACUGCCAUUGAUACUGGUUGGCUUGAGUUAUGGAGGGGUACAUGGAAUUUAUGGUGUAGCGGUGAAAUGCAUAGAUAACAUAAGGAACACCGAUAGCGAAGGCAUUGUACUGGCCAAUAACUGACGCUGAUGCACGAAAGCAUGGGUAGCGAACAGG
rnacentral:rRNA from 1 species